rnacentral:misc_RNA from 1 species
UACGGAGGAUCCAAGCGUUAUCCGGAAUCAUUGGGUUUAAAGGGUCCGUAGGCGGUUUAAUAAGUCAGUGGUGAAAUACCUUCGCUCAACGGAGGAACUGCCAUUGAUACUGUUAGACUUGAAUAAUUGGGAAGUAACUAGAAUAUGUAGUGUAGCGGUGAAAUGCUUAGAUAUUACAUAGAAUACCGAUUGCGAAGGCAGGUUACUAUCAAUUUAUUGACGCUGAUGGACGAAAGCGUGGGGAGCGAACAGG